UAGGGGGUAUGCCCCUAUAGGGCCGCGGAGCUCUGCAGGACAUCGACCAGCUGUCCCUAUUUAGGACCCUCUGUAAGACGUGCGUCUCGGUUCGCGCCGUGCGUCACAUCGUCCCCACUCUGCGUCGAGCCAUCGCCACCGCGCAGUCGGGGACCCCAGGUCCCGUCUUCGUGGAGCUCCCCAUUGACGUCCUUUACCCCUUCCACGUGGUAGAAAAGGAGGUGGGAGCCCCUACAAGGACCCAAAGUCUACGGGGGAAGCUGGUCCAUUGGUACCUCCAGAAUUACCUCCGGAACCUCUUUGCUGGCGCGUGGGAGCUCCGGGAUCUCACCCCAUUACCCAUCAAGUUCCCAUUGGCCACCGAGGAUGAGGUUGGGUUUGUCCCUUAUAAAUGGAUCUAUGG